UUCCUCCCGUGCGCCCUUCCCCUUCUCCCCGUUCGCAGCGCAGCAACCGCCAUCCAUUCCUCUUCUUCUUCCGUUCGCAGCAGCCGUCGGUCGCCGCGUCUCCCCUACUGAAGCUGAGCGCCGCGACCUCCAUUCCGUUCUUCAUCUCCGUUCGCGAAGCAGUCUUGCAGCAGCCGCCGCGUAACCGUUCUUCAUCUCCGUUCGCGAAGCAGCCUUGCAGCAGCCGCCGCGUAACUGUCCGGUCCAGAUCUGCGGCGUCGUUGCUCUUCCGCCGCUGCCCAGCCGUCUCAGCCGGUUCUGUCUCCGUCGAAGCCACGGUUCUGCAACCGUCUCCGCCGGUUCUGUCUUCGUGAAGCCCUGCCGCGCAACCUCUGUUUCGAGCCGCCGCCCAUUCCGUUCUCCUCUGUUUUCUGCACUGCCGCGCGACUCUCCGACCGCGUCAGAUCGUUGAUCGAUUUUGAGGCAGCCGCCACGUCUCCUUUGGCCGACCGCUGACCGACCCACACUUAGGAUUUUUGCUGCGAGUCCGACAGUCGUGCGUUGAGGUGUUGGGAGUAACGUUGGGCUCCCUUAAAUUCACAACCAAUUUGUGAAUUGUUGAGGGUUCAGUUCGCCAAUAUAUCGGAUUGUUUGGAGGACGUUAGUUGAUUAAGGAGCUUCCCCAACUUUGAGAACACUAGACUGAUAUGUACGUCCCUCGA